rnacentral:tRNA from 1 species
GGAAGCGUGGCCGAGCGGUUUAAGGUACUAGUCUUGAAAACUAGCGAAGGGGUGACUCUUCCGUGAGUUCGAAUCUCACCGCUUCCGCCA